CACUUGUUCUCCAAAUAAGGACUUGUAUGAAUGGCCACACGAGGGUUUUACUGUCUCUUACUUCCAAUCAGUGAAAUUGACCUUCCCGUGAAGAGGCGGGAAUAAAAAAAUAAGACGAGAAGACCCUAUGGAGCUUUAAUUAACUAUUCCAAAAGUUAAACAAUUCAACCACAAAGGGAUAAAACAUAACUUAACAUGGACUAGCAAUUUCGGUUGGGGUGACCUCGGAGUACAAAAAACCCUCCGAGUGAUUUUAAUCUAGACAAACCAGUCAAAAUAACCAUAACAUCACUUAUUGAUCCAAAAUUUUGAUCAACGGAACAAGUUACCCUAGGGAUAACAGCGCAAUCCUAUUCUAGAGUUCCUAUCGACAAUAGGGUUUACGACCUCGAUGUUGGAUCAGGACACCCAAAUGGUGCAACCGCUAUUAAAGGUUCGUUUGUUCAACGAUAAAGUCCU
rnacentral:rRNA from 1 species